rnacentral:rRNA from 1 species
GAACGAACGCUGGCGGCAGGCUUAACACAUGCAAGUUGAACGGGAUUGAUGGUAGCUUGCUAUCAUUAAUGAGAGUAGCGCACUGGUGAGUAACACGUGGGAACAUGCCUUUUGGUGGGGGACAACAGAUGGAAACGUCUGCUAAUACCGCAUAAGCCCUGAGGGGGAAAGAUUUAUUGCCGAAAGAUUGGCCCGCGGAAGAUUAGGUAGUAGGUGGGGUAAUGGCCUACCUAGCCGACGAUCUAUAGCUGGUCUGAGAGGACGAUCAGCCACAUUGGAACUGAGACACGGUCCAGACUCCUACGGGAGGCAGCAGUGAGGAAUAUUGGGCAAUGGAGGGAACUCUGACCCAGCCAUGCCCGCGUGAGUGAAGAAGGUUUUCGGAUUGUAAAGCUCUUUCAGAUGAGAAGAUAAUGACGGUAUCAUCAGAAGAAGCACCGGCUAACUUCGUGCCAGCAGCUGC